AAACCUGCAAAAUCAGCAAGGGGUCAAAUACUUUUUUCCCCCACUGUAUGUGUGAGACAAAAGUAUAGUGGAAAAGGAAGGAGUAUAGUGAAAACGGAAGAUGGGACAUUUAUCGCGCAGUGAUUGCCUGAGAAGCUCGAGUCCAGUCUGGGGGAGGGGGCAAUGACAGCGUGAUUGACAUCUGCAUACAGAAUGUUAAUCUUCCUGAACCAGCCAUCCUCUCGUCAGCUCCGAAGGCUCUGCAGCAGGAAUCACCGAGCUGAGGUUAUGGCUUCCACAAGUUCACCAGGAACUCUUAAAUAGCAAGUGGAGACUGGUAUAGAAUGGAGCUUUCUGUCUUGGGCUGGCCUCACCUUCAACGCGAUAAUCCCCCUUCACUUUUCCAGCAGCUGCACCCUCGGCCUCCACAAACCAGCGGCGCAGCAUUGCCUGGACCUGGCCGUCAGUCAGCUCGCUGUUGGCCGCUUGGAUCUUCCUCUUCACCGUCUCCUCCAGCAGCAGACGCCGCAGACGCCAGUAAAAGAACUGACGGGACGUUUGCCAUUCAAGGAUAUCCUGAGAUGGGCAAAAGACAAAAGAAAUAAUGUAAAUGCAGCUACUG